rnacentral:rRNA from 1 species
AUUGAACGCUGGCGGCAUGCCUUACACAUGCAAGUCGAACGGUAACGGGCCUUCGGGUGCCGACGAGUGGCGAACGGGUGAGUAAUACAUCGGAACGUGCCCGAUCGUGGGGGAUAACGAGGCGAAAGCUUUGCUAAUACCGCAUACGAUCUACGGAUGAAAGCCGGGGACCGCAAGGCCUUGCGCGGACGGAGCGGCCGGUGGCAGAUUAGGUAGUUGGUGGGAUAAAAGCUUACCAAGCCGACGAUCUGUAGCUGGUCUGAGAGGAUGAUCAGCCACACUGGGACUGAGACACGGCCCAGACUCCUACGGGAGGCAGCAGUGGGGAAUUUUGGACAAUGGGCGCAAGCCUGAUCCAGCCAUGCCGCGUGCAGGAUGAAGGCCUUCGGGUUGUAAACUGCUUUUGUACGGAACGAAAAGCCUUCUUUUAAUACAGGAGGGUCAUGACGGUACCGUAAGAAUAAGCACCGGCUAACUACGUG